CGCGGGUCGUGAUUCGGUUUGAUUGUCGCGAUUGUCCGAAAUGAAUUGGAAUCGUUUCGAGCGCUCCACGCCGGCGCAAUGCGCUCAGUUUUGCACACGAUGAUCGACGCAUCGUCACACGAUACACGGACAAACACGCACAGCCAAACAGUUAAUUAUCGCCGUCAAAUGAAAAAUACUUCGAGCACGCAAGUCAAAUAUUUUCGUCAAUCGUGGUUUAGGUAGUGAUUGCCGGACGCAACGACAACUCGCUCCGAAUUGAAACUUGAAGAACCAGAAAAUCAACAAACACGCCGACACACCACCGACAAGUACUACUAAUGAGCCGAAGACGUCGCAGUCGAUGACACUUGAACAACUCGCCGCACCAAAACGCGCGCACGCACUAUUAAGGUGUUUUUCGCAAAAACCCGCUCGCACUUUGCCAACACGCAACCAAAUAAAAGAGCGUGCGAAUUGUCGAAUCGAUGAUAUGUGCGUGUGAUGGUUGUUUCUUGCGUGCGGUUUGCUUUGCGGAGUCACGUUUGGGCAUCUAUUGGCAAAACGUGCGCUCGCGUUCGCUAUUUAUGCGCGCAGAAAGUCGCAUGGAGAAGAGAGCAGUGGCAGCAGCAGGAGUUUAAAGAGUGGUGAGCUUUAAUUCACCAGUUUUUCCCCGGUUUUUAGGCACAAAAAGUGAUACUUUAAACACGGAUGACCAAAGUCGUGACUAAAAUACUUUAGUCACGGGCUUUAGUCACGAGGUGAAAUUUACCACAGAAAAAUUAUUUAAAAAAUAAAAACAAUGUUUUAAAUAAAUAAUUGUCACCCCUUAGGACAUAAUCAUGUGCCGCCAUGUAACGGAAGUAGACCGUCUGGAAAAAAUUGCGUUGUCAUUGGAAAACGAAAGCCAGCAUCUGAUAAUGACAUUUCACAGUGGCCAUGAAUCGUAUCUAAAAGUUAUUCUUACAACAAACUUACACCUUAUAUUUAACACUCAGUCACCUAUUAUACGACCAGUGGAUUUCAUGAAGAUUAUGAAUAUUUAUUGAUAUGUGUUAUUAAAUAAAAGUUAAAAAUGAAUUUACUGUGCGCUCGGAUGAGCGCCGACUAAUGAGGAAAACUCAAUUAAUGGCUGGGCAUAAUUUUAAUAACGCUCGUUGAGUACUUGAAUAGGCAUUCGAAUUGUAAAAUGGCCGUCGCAAAAUUGCCACACAACGACAAUUACGUUGCAAGGUUACACAACCUGCAAUGUUUUGUGUGAUCAUUUAUUAAUAGGAUUUAAUACAAUUAAAUUAUUGUAAUCAGCAGUCAUUAGCGAAUGAUUGUCAAAAACAGGAUAUUAAUGGACAAAAGGCGGUUUAUUAACUGUAUUGUCAAAUAAGGUUAUGUUUAAAAGUAGCCAUACAAUGAUUAAGACUCGGAAAAACUGUUUUUGUUAUUUUGAGGUUAGUUUAAUCCCUACUAAUAUUAUAAAUGCGAAAGUUCUGAUGUUUGUUACACUUUCACGCAAAAACUACUGAACCUAUCAUCAUAAAAAUUUGUACACAUAUUCUUAGUGGUCCCUGAAUGGUUAUAGGCUAUUUUAUUUAAUAAAAAAAUUAUUUUUUAAAUAAAAUAAAGAAAUAGUUUAGCCAAUAAUACCUCUGCAUCUGGCUAUUUGACUACUUUAACGCCAUCUAGCAUUCCCGCAAUGAA